GAGCACUGUUCGUAACCUGUUAGUCUCCUGUGGCAUAUGGGUUCCAUUCCAGUGCAACAGAAAGUCCCACGACCCUUCUCUGACUGACUUAUUUAAGCUUUCAGGUUAAGGUCUUGGAGACAGAA